rnacentral:rRNA from 1 species
GAUGUCGACAGCCGUUGGGUGCCUAGCGCACUUUGUGGCGAAGUUAACGCGAUAAGUCGACCGCCUGGGGAGUACGGCCGCAAGGUUAAAACUCAAAUGAAUUGACGGGGGCCCGCACAAGCGGUGGAGCAUGUGGUUUAAUUCGAUGCAACGCGAAGAACCUUACCUACUCUUGACAUCCUGCGAACUUGUGAGAGAUCACUUGGUGCCUUCGGGAACGCAGAGACAGGUGCUGCAUGGCUGUCGUCAGCUCGUGUUGUGAAAUGUUGGGUUAAGUCCCGUAACGAGCGCAACCCUUGUCCUUAUUUGCCAGCGCGUAAUGGCGGGAACUCUAAGGAGACUGCCGGUGACAAACCGGAGGAAGGUGGGGACGACGUCAAGUCAUCAUGGCCCUUACGAGUAGGGCUACACACGUGCUACAAUGGUCGGUACAAAGGGUUGCCAACUCGCGAGAGUGAGCCAAUCCCGAAAAGCCGAUCUCAGUCCGGAUCGGAGUCUGCAACUCGACUCCGUGAAGUCGGAAUCGCUAGUAAUCGUGGAUCAGAAUGCCACGGUGAAUACGUUCCCGGGCCUUGUACACACCGCCCGUCACACCAUGGGAGUGGACUGCACCAGAAGUGGUUAGCCUAACGCAAGAGGGCGAUCACCACGGUGUGGUUCAUGACUGGGGUG